rnacentral:rRNA from 1 species
GUGGGGAAUUUUGGACAAUGGGCGCAAGCCUGAUCCAGCCAUUCCGCGUGCAGGAUGAAGGCCUUCGGGUUGUAAACUGCUUUUGUACGGAACGAAAAGCCUCUGGUUAAUACCCGUGGGUCAUGACGGUACCGUAAGAAUAAGCACCGGCUAACUACGUGCCAGCAGCCGCGGUAAUACGUAGGGUGCGAGCGUUAAUCGGAAUUACUGGGCGUAAAGCGUGCGCAGGCGGUGAUGUAAGACAGUUGUGAAAUCCCCGGGCUCAACCUGGGAACUGCAUCUGUGACUGCAUUGCUGGAGUGCGGCAGAGGGGGAUGGAAUUCCGCGUGUAGCAGUGAAAUGCGUAGAUAUGCGGAGGAACACCGAUGGCGAAGGCAAUCCCCUGGGCCUGCACUGACGCUCAUGCACGAAAGCGUGUGGAGCAAACAGGAUUAGAAACCCCUGUAGUCC